rnacentral:rRNA from 1 species
CAGCAGUAGGGAAUCUUCCACAAUGAGCGAAAGCUUGAUGGAGCGACACAGCGUGCAGGAUGAAGGUUUUCGAAUUGUAAACUGCUGUUAUAGGGGAAGAAAAACUUGGAUAGGAAAUGAUCCAAACUUGACGGUACCUUAUUAGAAAGUGACGGCUAACUAUGUGCCAGCAGCCGCGGUAAUACAUAGGUCACAAGCGUUAUCCGGAAUUAUUGGGCGUAAAGCGUUCGUAGGCGGUUUGUUAAGUCUGGAGUUAAAGACUGGGGCUCAACCCCAGCCCGCUCUGGAUACUGGCUGACUAGAGUUACAUAGAGGUAAGUGGAAUUCUUAGUGGAGCGGUGGAAUGCGUAGAUAUUAGGAAGAACACCAAUGGCGAAGGCAGCUUACUGGAUGUACACUGACGCUCAGGGACGAAAGCGUGGGGAGCAAACAGGAUUAGAUACCCUGGUAGUCCACGCCGUAAACGAUGAUCAUUAGCCGCUAGAAUAUUUAGUGGCGCAGCUAACGCAUUAAAUGAUCCGCCUGAGUAGUAUGCUCGCAAGAGUGAAACUUAAAGGAAUUGACGGGGACCCGCACAAGCGGUGGAGCAUGUGGUUUAAUUUGAAGAUACGCGUAGAACCUUACCCACUCUUGACAUCUUCCGCAAUACUAUGGAGACAUAGUGGAGGUUAACGGAAUGACAGAUGGUGCAUGGUUGUCGUCAGCUCGUGCCGUGAGGUGUUAGGUUAAGUCCUGCAACGAGCGCAACCCCUGUCUUUAGUUACUAACGGAUAAUGCCGAGGACUCUAGAGAGACUGACCGGGUAACCAGUAGGAAGGUGGGGACGACGUCAAAUCAUCAUGCCUCUUACGAGUGGGGCAACACACGUGCUACAAUGGACGGUACAAAGAGAAGCAAUAUGGUGACAUGGAGCAAACCUCAAAAACCGUUCUCAGUUCGGAUUGAAGUCUGAAACUCGACUUCAUGAAGUUGGAAUCGCUAGUAAUCGUAGAUCAGCUACGCUACGGUGAAUACGUUCUCGGGUCUUGUAC